GAAGAUAGCAGGACUAAAAGAAGCUGAAAGAUGAGAUGCUGUUGCUAAAGGACACGCCGGACAGAGGGAAGGGAAAUGGCACGAAGAAGCCCGAAGUGGACUACGGACAGAGAAAGGCCAGAGCAGGGAGUCGGAUUACGGCAAAGAUUUAUUUCUACAUGUUAGAAUACAAGAUAUUUUUCUUUUUUGCAUAAGAGGGGCAGAAUAGCUACCCUCAGCAUUUAGAAGCCUCCAUGACAUAGGAAUUUGUUUUUUCUGUUGCUUGAAUAAACUAAGCGCAGUUAAUUGCAGCGCUGUUUUGGGGAGUCUUUUGUCCCGAGGCCCAUCUAUCUACUCUAGAGGACUGGUCUGAGGACCACACCCCCAGCGGCAUCACAGUGUUGGAAGAUAUGGGCAUGAGUGGGUGCACCCAAGACAGUGCCUCUGCUGGAGAGCAGCAUGUUGUGCAACAGAAGAAAACAGGAUUUUGUUUUCCCUUCUCCUGUUCUGGUUAUUGCGGUUGAUCCUGGAGGUGGGAUUUUUUCUGCCCUUUCCUAUCCCUCUCUCCUGUGGCUGCUGUCGAGAAAUGUAGAGCGUGCUCUAGCAGGCAGCCCAGGUGACUCCGAGGCUCGCAGGUAGGCGGGUACCAACGAGUCACCCCUUUACUAUUAAUUAAUAAUUUCUCACACUUACAUAGCACUUUUCUGGACCCUCCACUCACAGUGCUUUACAGGUAAUGGGGACUGCCCUCCUCCACCACUACUAAUUGAAGAGCACGCAGUGCAUGUAUAAACCAUGCUCAGAAGGUUUUAGCCUUUUUUUUUCUUUCAGUUUAUAACCUUUCAGAGGUAUUUACAUUGUGCCAGCAGAGAGUGGGCAAUAAAUACAGAAAUACACUUAUUCAAAACUAUAUAAGUUUGGGCAUUACAGAAUUAGGACUUGGUUUCAUUUCUGAAUUAGAGGAUUCUGAUCUUAAUGGGGGGCAUAAACACCUCCCAGGUUAGCCCGUAUUUACUAAACCUUUCUGACAGUAGAGUGUUCUCCUGUUGAUUGUAUGAAUCAGUCCGCUGUUCAGCCUGGAGGGUCUUCAGUUAGCCCUUGCCUUGUCUCUUACUGGCAGCUAGUUCGUAGUACAGAUCUCUCUGGGUUCAAUGCGAAGUGACCCUUUUAAAGGGACUUGCAGACGACUCCUGCAGCAGCUUCCGGGGAGGAAUUCCCUGGCGUCGGCAAACCUCACCGGUGAGCCUGCAUUUCUGAUUCUGGUCUGAUCUGCUCCGCAGGCAGCACGCCAGCGCCUCCUACAGGCACCAGACUGCGACGGCACCGCCCCCUAGUCCCGUCUCUCCAGGAGGCCCUGCUGGACGAGGAGUGCGCCUUCUACACGUCCUGCGGCCCCGCCCCCCCGCGCCCCGCCCCCAUCCGCCGCUGCGCCAACCCGCUGGCUCGCACCUUCGACUUCGAGGACUCGCUCCAGUUCGAGCCAAUCUCCUCGCCCUCAUCGGCUGAAGAGCAGAGUUUUAUGUAAAUUAUUCUAUGUUGAUGAAUAAAAAGAAGCUGUAUCAUGUCAA